rnacentral:rRNA from 1 species
GAUGAACGCUGGCGGCGUGCCUAAUACAUGCAAGUCGAGCGAACAGAUGAGGAGCUUGCUCCUCUGACGUUAGCGGCGGACGGGUGAGUAACACGUGGAUAACCUACCUAUCAGACUGGGAUAACUUCGGGACACCGGAGCUAAUACCGGAUAAUAUAUUGAACCGCAUGGUUCAAUAGUGAAAGACGGUUUUGCUGUCACUUAUAGAUGGAUCCGCGCCGCAUUAGCUAGUUGGUAAGGUAACGGCUUACCAAGGCAACGAUGCGUAGCCGACCUGAGAGGGUGAUCGGCCACACUGGAACUGAGACACGGUCCAGACUCCUACGGGACGCAGCAGUAGGGAAUCUUCCGCAAUGGGCGAAAGCUUGACGGAGCAACGCCGCGUGAGUGAUGAAGGUCUUCGGAUCGUAAAACUCUGUUAUUAGGGAAGAACAAAUGUGUAAGUAACUAUGCACGUCUUGACGGUACCUAAUCAGAAAGCCACGGCUAACUACGUG